rnacentral:rRNA from 1 species
GACGUAGGGCGCGAGCGUUGUCCGGAAUUACUGGGCGUAAAGCGCACGUAGGUGGCGACGUAAGUCGGGUGUGAAAGCCCCGGGCUCAACCUGGGAAUUGCAUUCGAGACUGCAUUGCUGGAGUACGGAAGAGGAGGGCGGAAUUCCCGGUGUAGCGGUGAAAUGCGUAGAUAUCGGGAGGAACAUCAGUGGCGAAGGCGGCCCUCUGGUCCAGUACUGACACUCAAGUGCGAAAGCGUGGGGAGCAAACAGG